CAGGCGAGCUGGGAGAGACAGGCGAGAAGGGAGACCGUGGUGUGCCAGGCCCAGAGGGUGAGAAGGGUGAGACGGGAGCCCCAGGGCACCCAGGGCCAUCAGGCAGAG